GGGGAAUUUUGCGCAAUGGGGGAAACCCUGACGCAGCAACGCCGCGUGGGUGAUGAAGGCCUUCGGGUCGUAAAGCUCUGUCUGGAGGGAAGAAAUGAUUGGGAGCUAAUACCUCUUGAUCUUGACGGUACCUCUGAAGGAAGCACCGGCUAACUACGUGCCAGCAGCCGCGGUAAUACGUAGGCAGCAAGCGUUGUUCGGAGUUACUGGGCGUAAAGAGUGCGUAGGCGGUUUUCUAAGUUCGGUGUGAAAUCUCCCGGCUUAACUGGGAGGGUGCGCCGAAGACUGGGAAGCUGGAGUGUGGGAAAGGCAGGCGGAAUUCCUGGUGUAGCGGUGAAAUGCGUAGAUAUCAGGAGGAACACCGGCGGUGUAGACGGCUUGCUAAACCAUAACUGACGCUGAGGCACGAAAGCGUGGGUAGCAAACA
rnacentral:rRNA from 1 species